rnacentral:snRNA from 12 species
AUCGCUUCUCGGCCUUUUGGCUAAGAUCAAGUGUAGUAUCUGUUCUUAUCAGUUUAAUAUCUGAUACGUCCCCUACCCGGGGACUACAUAUUAAAUUGAUGUUUGGAUCACGGAGCUGGAGCCAUUCUUU